GGCCCUUCCUGGCUCAGAACCCAGGGCUCCAUGGCUCCAGCUGUGAGGAAGUGCAUUGCUGAACUGACAAAGAAUCCAUCCUCAAAUAUUCCCGGACUUACUUAUUUUAAGGAUUUUAUGGUAAAGCAUACCAGGAGCUGAAUAUAUAGGUGCACUCCAGUGAGCUGUAGGUAUCAAGAAUUGAGAAGGGAAGGGUUGUUUCCGCAUCACUGGUACUGCCUGGCGAUCUUGUCCUGCCAAGUUGUCAUGCUGGAGCUUAUCUCAGCUGAUGCAAUUUGGAACAGCCCAGUGAGUUUGGAGACAUCUUCUUAAGACUUACUGAGUAGCCUUCCCCAUCUGCAAAAGUCAGGAAGUCAUGGAAGAUACUUCCUAGCUACUCUGCUUGCCUUUUUUUCUGGGCUGUGCUAGGUACUGGCGGGCAAGUGCUACGUUUCACCUUCAAAGGCUAAAGCUUCAGAAGAUGCUGAUUAAGUUGAGCUAUGCUUUUGAAUAAUUACAACUAUCUGUCAUGUUUUCUAUCCCCCUCUGUUUGCUUUGUUAAUGGUUUGGUUUGGAUAAUAAGUACUUAAAAGUGAACUAGGGUGUUGUAGGACACGUGGCUGUGAGCCUCCUUUAGACAUGAAGUCCUGUUUUUCUUCCACAUACAGAAAGCAGGCACAGAAAAAUGUUAAGUGCUUACUUGAGGCUUUCUGAAUUUUUUUAAAUAAUAAUGUAUUCUUAAUUCUGCUUGUUAUAUGAUGAAACAAAACCAAGAUAUAUCUAAAAAUAAAUUUCC
rnacentral:lncRNA from 1 species